AUUAUAUCAAUUGAUGUUAAGAUUAACUUAUUAGAGUUAUUAUUGUUAUGUUUGUGGUAUUAGAUACUCAAAGGAAUCGCUGUCCUUGCUUGUUGGAACCUGUGGAGUAGAAAUUCCUCUCUUGGAUAUUAGUCUAUAAGUAAACUUAGUAUCUAUAGUUAAAUUUUAGCAUUCACAUCAUCUUUAUAACUAUUGAAGACAAUUUUUAUAAUUUAUUAUUUAAUUAUUUACUAACUUAUUUGUUAAUAUGAUGGUUAUGUUAAAUAUUUUACAAAGAAAAUCCCACUUGAGACAUGAUAUUUAACAUUGAAAUGAAUGAAGUGGUUAUUUGAGAAAUUAAACUAUAAUGUAAAUAUUAUCUUGCAUAUACACUUUGAAAGUAAAUUUAGUAUUGAAUUUGAAUAAAAUUAUUACAUGAAUUAUUACUAUUGAAUUGAUGAUGUAUUUAUUGAUUUGUUGACAACCUUUAGUUUGAUCAUAAUUUGUAUGUCAAAAUAUUUUGGAAGGUUCUAUGACAGAAACUACAGCUAGCGGCAGUAAAGGCUAGACUUGGUGCACCUUGUCAAUUAUAUAAUUGCAUUUUUCAGGACCAUAUGGGAUGAAAUGGUUCCUGUCUGUUUCAUGUCCACAAAAUUAGUGGAACAUGUCUGUUUCAGAACUCACACGAAGGAAAACAACCUAAGUAUAUGGGCAUUGAUCCUAAUCCAACUUCAUCAGUUCUGCUCUAGUUUUGUUUGUGUUGGUGAGCCCUUUAUUGUUUAAGG